rnacentral:rRNA from 1 species
AUGCAGACAGUAUGCUGAGUAACUGAUGUGGUAACCCCCUUCCUGGACAAUCAAUAUUUGCCCAUCGCUAUGCUGAUUAGCCAGGCUCCUCAUUAUUUGUCCAACUUUCCUAUAGCCAUCCAUGGUCAAGCACUGUCUUCCAUUUGGGUCAAACUGCAUGGAAUCUUGGCCAAUGACAAAAACCAAAAGCUGAGGUUUAAACUUGUCAAUCGCCGGGACAACUAAUUCAUUCAUUGCAUACUCGUAGCCUUUAUCCCCACUGCCAUUAGGCAAAGGUAUAUUGAGAUUGUACCCAAGCCCCUUGCCUUCCCCAAUCUCAUCAGACGAGCCACUCUGCAGAUGCGAAGGACCCCAAGUACCAUGCUUCAUGUGAAGAGAGAUUGUCAAUACAUUGUCCGUGCGAUAGAAGCCCUCUGCAGUACCAUUUCCAUAGUGCACGUCUAUGUCAACAACGGCAACCUUUGCGCGGCCAGAAUCCAAAGCCAGGUGCACCGCAAGUCCGGCAUUGUUCAGAAAGCAGUAACCGUCAGCAUGGUCCGGUUGCGCGUGAUGGCCAGGGGGGCGGACCAAUGCGUAGGCUAUCUUCCCAUGCCCAUCUAG